AAAUCAGACCCACAUGACCCUGUGUAAAAAAAAAAAGUGAUUGCUUGUUAAAACAUAAUUUCACUGUGGUUCAUCACACCUGAGUUCACUGCCUCUAGAUGCACAUAGUCAUGAUUGGUCCAACACCUGUUCUCAAUCAAGGCAUCACUAAAGUAAGAUCUGUUGGAGAAAGUGAAGUAUAGUACACUAAAAGAUUUACAAAAGCUUGACAUCAUGGCGAGAUUCAAAUAAAUUUCCAAACAAGUGAGAAAGAAAGUAACUGAGAUCUCUCAGUCUGGAAAAGGUYACAAAGUCAUUUUUGAAGCUUUGGGACUCCAGCAAAGCACAGAGAGAGGCACUAAAUGCCAAAUGGUGAAAACGGGAACAGCAGUGAACCUUCCCAGGUUGAUCAAAAUCAAAGGCAUUUUGUUAUARUUUCUGCUGCAUUAUGGAAUAAUGUUACGUUUUGUGUCAAUUUAGGACACUCAGGAAGGUAGAGYUGUGUGACAUCAGCGUAGYUGUGAUAAUGAARACUGUCUUCUAAUGAUUCCACCCUAUGGAUCCACGGAUCGUUUUCAACUUGGUCUUUCUUAUGGCCGCUCUCCUCACCAACUCCCUCCAUGAUGACAGCCUCGUAGCAGAAACGGCUGCGGUCUGUACCUUUAGGAUGACAACCACAGAAACUCUGACCACAUCCAGAGCUCCUUUAACAACAACCACAACAGCUGCUACAACAGCUACAGCAGCUCUAACCACAACAGCAGGUCAAAUGACAACUACAGGAACUCCAGGUAUCUUAGCUACUUAAUGUAGUCAUAGCUUAACGUAGCUUUAUUAAAAUAGCAGAAAAUAAACAAACUGAACUGAUGAA